GCAUAGCAGUCGAACGAUGAUGGUGGUGCUUGCAUCACCUGAUUAGUGGCGAACGGGUGAGUAACACGUGAGUAACCUGCCCCUCACUUCGGGAUAACCUCGGGAAAUCGUGGCUAAUACCGGAUAUGAACUUCUACCGCAUGGUGGUUGUUGGAAAGAUUUAUCGGUGAGGGAUGGACUCGCGGCCUAUCAGUUUGUUGGUGAGGUAAUGGCUCACCAAGACGAUGACGGGUAGCCGGCCUGAGAGGGCGACCGGCCACACUGGGACUGAGACACGGCCCAGACUCCUACGGGAGGCAGCAGUGGGGAAUAUUGCACAAUGGGCGAAAGCCUGAUGCAGCGACGCCGCGUGGGGGAUGACGGCCUUCGGGUUGUAAACCUCUUUCAGUAGGGAAGAAGCGAAAGUGACGGUACCUGCAGAAGAAGCGCCGGCUAACUACGUGCCAGCAGCCGCGGUAAUACGUAGGGCGCAAGCGUUGUCCGGAAUUAUUGGGCGUAAAGAGCUCGUAGGUGGCUUGUCGCGUCUGCCGUGAAAACCCGAGGCUCAACCUCGGGCGUGCGGUGGGUACGGGCAGGCUAGAGUGUGGUAGGGGAGACUGGAACUCCUGGUGUAGCGGUGAAAUGCGCAGAUAUCAGGAAGAACACCGAUGGCGAAGGCAGGUCUCUGGGCCAUUACUGACACUGAGGAGCGAAAGCAUGGGUAGCGAACAGGAUUAGAUACCCUGGUAGUCCAUGCCGUAAACGUUGGGCACUAGAUGUGGGGGACAUUCCACGUUUUCCGCGUCGUAGCUAACGCAUUAAGUGCCCCGCCUGGGGAGUACGGCCGCAAGGCUAAAACUCAAAGGAAUUGACGGGGGCCCGCACAAGCGGCGGAGCAUGCUGAUUAAUUCGAUGCAACGCGAAGAACCUUACCAAGGCUUGACAUGCACCGGGCGACUGCAGAGAUGUGGUUUUCUUCGGACUGGUGCACAGGUGGUGCAUGGUUGUCGUCAGCUCGUGUCGUGAGAUGUUGGGUUAAGUCCCGCAACGAGCGCAACCCUCGUUCUAUGUUGCCAGCACGUCAUGGUGGGGACUCAUAGGAGACUGCCGGGGUCAACUCGGAGGAAGGUGGGGACGACGUCAAAUCAUCAUGCCCCUUAUGUCUUGGGCUUCAAGCAUGCUACAAUGGUCGGUACAAUGGGUUGCGAAACUGUGAGGUGGAGCGAAUCCCAAAAAGCCGGCCUCAUUUCGGAUU
rnacentral:rRNA from 2 species